GCCCGGGUGGCGAAACUGGUAGACGCAGGGGACUUAAAAUCCCCCGGCCGCAAGGCCAUGCUGGUUCGAUUCCGGCCCCGGGCACCA
rnacentral:tRNA from 1 species